rnacentral:rRNA from 1 species
UACGAAGGGGGCUAGCGUUGCUCGGAAUCACUGGGCGUAAAGCGCACGUAGGCGGAUCGUUAAGUCGGGGGUGAAAUCCUGGAGCUCAACUCCAGAACUGCCUUCGAUACUGGCGAUCUUGAGUCCGGAAGAGGUGAGUGGAACUCCUAGUGUAGAGGUGGAAUUCGUAGAUAUUAGGAAGAACACCCGUGGCGAAGGCGGUUCUCUGGGACGGUACUGACGCUGAGACGCGAAAGCGUGGGGAGCGAACAGG